rnacentral:rRNA from 1 species
GACGAACGCUGGCGGCGUGCCUAACACAUGCCAGUCGAACGAGAACGCCGGGUCUUUUGGCGCACCGGUGGGUAAGGCGUGGGAACCUGCCCGUAGGUUCGGAAUAACUCCCCGAAAGGGGUGCUAAUACCAGAUGAUAUCUUCGGACCAAAGAUUUAUCGCCUUGGGAUGGGGCUGCGUUGGAUUAGCGAGUUGGUAGGGUAAAAGCCGACCAAGGAGAAGUUGCAUAGCUGGUAUGAGAGCAGGAUCAACCACACUGGGGCUGGGACACGGCCCAGACUCCUAGGGAAGGCAGGAGUGGGGAAUAUUGGACGACGGGCGAAAGCCUGAUCCAGCCGUGCCGCGUAAGUGAUGAAGGCCUUAGGAUUGUGAAGCUGUUUGACCCGUGAUGAUAAUGACAGUACCGGGAGAAUAAGCGCCGGCUAACUACGUG